rnacentral:rRNA from 1 species
CUACCUGCAGUCGCGUGCGCAGUUUCCGUAGCAAUACGGGAAUCGGCGCACGGCGCACGGGUGCGUAACACGUGGGCAAUCUGCCCUCCGAUGGGGAAUACCCCCGCGAAAGCGGGACUAAUUCCGCAUAACAUUCCUUGGAUUAAUUUUCGAGGAUUCAAAGCAGUAAUGCGUCGGAGGAGGAGCCCGCGCCCGAUUAGCUAGUUGGUGAGGUAACGGCUCACCAAGGCAAUGAUCGGUAGCUGGUCUGAGAGGAUGGCCAGCCACACUGGAACUGAGACACGGUCCAGACUCCUACGGGAGGCAGCAGUGGGGAAUCUUGCACAAUGGGCGAAAGCCUGAUGCAGCGACGCCGCGUGGGGGAUGAAGCUUUUCGGAGUGUAAACCCCUCUCGACUGGGACGAAUGCCUCGCAAGAGGAGUGACGGUACCAGUAUAAGAAGCCCCGGCUAACUACGUGCCAGCAGCCGCGGUAAGACGUAGGGGGCCAGCGUUGUUCGGAAUUACUGGGUGUAAAGGGUUCGUAGGCGGUGUGGCAAGUCGGGAGUGAAAUCUCUGGGCUCAACCCAGAGACUGCUUCCGAAACUGCUGUGCUUGAGUGUGAGAGAGGCUCGUGGAAUUGCAGGUGUAGCGGUGAAAUGCGUAGAUAUCUGCAGGAACACCCGUGGCGAAAGCGGCGAGCUGGAUCACUACUGACGCUGAGGAACGAAAGCUAGGGGAGCAAACAGGAUUAGAUACCCUGGUAGUCCUAGCCCUAAACGAUCAGGACUUGGGGUGCCGCCCGUUCGGGCGUCNUCCCGGANCUAACGCGUUAAGUCCUGCACCUGGGGAGUACGGUCGCAAGACUGAAA